AAGGAAUCAAACUUGACUUAUGAAGCCAAUAAAGCCCUUGGAAAAGCUGGCCUUAUGUUUUGUGUACACAAUCCCUGUACGGGGUUCCUGACCUGUGGGAGAGACAGAGAAUCUACAUUUCUACAGGUCCCCGGGCGGUGCUGUGCAGGUGCAUGAUAAGGAGCGUGAUCUGAUGUCUGAUUCACACCAGGGUGUGGGAAUCUCAGAGGCAGAGAGCCCUGGAGAUGAAAGGGACAGAGACCUGGAUUCAGAUCUCAUUUUACAAUGAAGACCCCAAUGCAGAAAGUCAUGUCUGAAAUUCUGAGCUUACUCUUCUGCCUGCUGGGACCUGCUCUGGAUGAGAGAAGGGAGGAAAAGGACUAAUCAGAGGAGCCAAUGAAGUCACUCCAUGAGCUAGAGAUUAACGUCUGACCAUCAACAUAGGACACUGUGCAGAUGGCUACUUGCUGGCGCACAUGAAGACCAAAGCCAGGACACAAGCCCCAGCCCUGCUAAACACGGCAGAGACUCUGCCCCAGCCCACCUCCUGUGAGAAUCUGCUUCACUCCACAGCUGACCCCAGCAUCUUCAUGUGAGGACCAUGAAUGGACAUAGUUUCCAGGAUUUUUUGUGACCCAGGAAACCCGAACUCUCAUCAAAAAUGAAUAAAUAAAAGGAGGGAUGGGUAAGAAAAUGCUAAAAAUCUCCUUUUUGAAUCAUUAACAUUCACUUGAAAUUUGUCUCCACUAUUUCCUACUACCCUAGCAAACUCCAACCUGAAUAGCAUGGGUGAUGGCACUAAGCCCUAUAAUAGAAAAAGUGCCCUUAAGCUCUGUAUUAGUCCGUUCUCUCACUGCUAAUAAAGAUACACCUGAGGCUGGCUAAUUU
rnacentral:lncRNA from 1 species